rnacentral:lncRNA from 1 species
AUAUAAGCUUCAGAUUUUUUCACUUUAAGCAUUGGUUUCCUGAAUAACCGAUGUCGUAAGGCUCUUUGCCUCGGGUAUUUUGGCAACCGAGGUAGUAUCGUUUAUUAAGUUCAAAAUUUUCAGCCCUUUUCAUUUCUUCUCGCGUUGUUGCUGCUUCUGGUUUUUCUUCUUUCUCUUCGUGUAGUUGCCUUCUUCGCACCAUAUAAGCUUCCUCAGGCGCCAUUCUUCGUACCAUUUCUCUUCAUUGCUUUUUCGUCUUCGUCGCUACAUUGUGUUUGCACCUUGCCUUACGCCUUUGCCGCCACCACUGUUGUUCUCCGCAAGGGCUACCUCCACCAGCGUCGCUGCCGCUCCGCCGCGAGUCCUUUGUUUUAUUUGUGUCUCCUUCGUCGUCACUGCUUCACUACGAUUUGUUUAGUUUUUGGUGUUGCCUUCGUCCCUGUCGUUCUCACCUUCGUAGUCGCUGCUAUCAUCGUCUCCCCCACUGUCAUUGUCAUUGUUGGUGUUGCCCAUCACGGUAAGUUGUU